rnacentral:rRNA from 1 species
GAUCAUGGCUCAGGACGAACGCUGGCGGCGUGCCUAACACAUGCAAGUCGAACGGAGAGAAUUUGAAGCUUGCUUUGGAUUUUCUCAGUGGCGGACGGGUGAGUAACACGUAUCCAACCUGCCGUCUACUCUUGGCCAGCCUUCUGAAAGGAAGAUUAAUCCAGGAUGGGAUCAUGAGUUCACAUGUCCGCGUGAUUAAAGGUAUUUUCCGGUAGACGAUGGGGAUGCGUUCCAUUAG